GGAUGUGAGGGCGAUCUGGCUGCGACAUCUGUCACCCCAUUGAUCGCCAGGGUUGAUUCGGCUGAUCUGGCUGGCUAGGCGGGUGUCCCCCUCCUCCCUCACCGAUCCAUGUGCGUCCCUCCCGAAGCUGCGCGCUCGGUCGAAGAGGACGACCUUCCCCCCCCCCCCCCCAGGAGAGGACCGGUCUUCGGUCAAGGGUAUACGAGUAGCUGCGCUCCCCUGCUAGAACCUCCAAACAAGCUCUCAUAAACUGUACACCUGAUUUUCGUAACGCAUACUUCAUAUACUCUAUUUAAAUCCAUUCAAUGACUAUCCACGACGUUGAGAAUAAAAU
ensembl:misc_RNA 7SK 7SK RNA